rnacentral:rRNA from 1 species
UACGAAGGGGACUAGCGUUGUUCGGAAUUACUGGGCGUAAAGCGCACGUAGGCGGAUUUGUAAGUCAGGGGUGAAAUCCCGGGGCUCAACCUCGGAACUGCCUUUGAUACUGCAAAUCUCGAGUCCGAUAGAGGUGGGUGGAAUUCCUAGUGUAGAGGUGAAAUUCGUAGAUAUUAGGAAGAACACCUAUGGCGAAGGCAGCUCUCUGGGACGGUACUGACGCUGAGACGCGAAAGCGUGGGGAGCGAACAGG